ACGCUGAAAGAGGAGCUUGCUCUUCUUGGAUGAGUUGCGAACGGGUGAGUAACGCGUAGGUAACCUGCCUUGUAGCGGGGGAUAACUAUUGGAAACGAUAGCUAAUACCGCAUAACAAUGGGUGACUCAUGUCAUUUAUUUGAAAGGGGCAAAUGCUCCACUACAAGAUGGACCUGCGUUGUAUUAGCUAGUAGGUGAGGUAACGGCUCACCUAGGCGACGAUACAUAGCCGACCUGAGAGGGUGAUCGGCCACACUGGGACUGAGACACGGCCCAGACUCCUACGGGAGGCAGCAGUAGGGAAUCUUCGGCAAUGGGGGCAACCCUGACCGAGCAACGCCGCGUGAGUGAAGAAGGUUUUCGGAUCGUAAAACUCUGUUGUAAGUCAAGAACGAGUGUGAGAGUGGAAAGUUCACACUGUGACGGUAGCUUACCAGAAAGGGACGGCUAACUACGUGCCAGCAGCCGCGGUAAUACGUAGGUCCCGAGCGUUGUCCGGAUUUAUUGGGCGUAAAGCGAGCGCAGGCGGUUUGAUAAGUCUGAAGUUAAAGGCUGUGGCUCAACCAUAGUUCGCUUUGGAAACUGUCAAACUUGAGUGCAGAAGGGGAGAGUGGAAUUCCAUGUGUAGCGGUGAAAUGUGUAGAUAUAUGGAGGAACACCGGUGGCGAAAGCGGCUCUCUGGUCUGUAACUGACGCUGAGGCUCGAAAGCGUGGGGAGCGAACAGGAUUAGAUACCCUGGUA
rnacentral:rRNA from 1 species